CCGGCGACCGGCGCACGGGUGAGUAACACGUAUGCAACCUGGCCGCCACAGGGGGAUAACCCGCGGAAACGCGGCCUAAUACCCCGUGACGCCACCGGAGGGCAUCCUCCGGUGGCCAAAGGAGCGAUCCGGUGGCGGAUGGGCAUGCGGCGCAUUAGCUAGACGGCGGGGUGACGGCCCACCGUGGCGACGAUGCGUAGGGGUUCUGAGAGGAAGGCCCCCCACACUGGGACUGAGACACGGACCAGACUCCUACGGGAGGCAGCAG
rnacentral:rRNA from 1 species